rnacentral:rRNA from 1 species
GUUGAUCAUCGGCUCAGAUUGAACGCCCGUAGGGAUGCUACCAGCACAAGUCGAACAGCACGGACUUCGGUCUGGUGGCGAGUGGCGAACGGGUGAGUAAUGUAUCGGAACGUGCCUAGUAGCGGGGGAUAAUACGCGAAAGCGUAGCUAAUACCGCAUACGCCCUUCAGGCGGAGGACCUUCGGGCCUCGCACUAUUAGAGCGGCCGAUAUCAGUUAGCUAGUUGGUGGGGUAACGGCUCGCAAGGCGACAGUCAGCCAGCUGGUUUGAGAGGACGACCGCAGCCACUGGGACUGAGACACGGCCCAGACUCUGGGCAACCAGGAGUGGGGAAUUUUGGACAAUGGGGAAACCUGAUCCAGCCAUCCCAUGUGCGAUGAAGGCCUUUGGGUUGUAACACUUUUGGCGAGAGAAACGGCACGGGAUAAUACCCCGUGCAACUGACGGUACCUGCAGAAUAAGCACCGGCUGGCAUUGCCCGGCGGCGCGGUAAUACGUAGGGUGCAAGCGUUAAUCGGAGAUUACUGGGCUAAAGCGUGCGCAGGCGGUUCGGAAGAAGAUGUGAUCCCAGAGCUUAACUGGAACAUUUUUAACUACCGAGCUAGAGUGUGUCAGAGGGAGGUGGAAUUCCGCGUGUAGCAGUGAUAAACAGAUAUGCGGAGGAACACCGAUGGCGAAGGCAACCUCCUGGGAUAACACUGACGCUCAUGCGGCGUGGGGAGCAAACGGGAUUAGAUACCCUGGUAGUCGCCUAUAAACGAUGUCAACUAGCUGUGGAACCUUCGGGCCUUGGUAGCGCAACUAACGUGAAGUUGACCUGGGGAGUACGGUCGCAAGAUUAAAAUAAAGGAAUUGACGGGGACCCGCACAAGCAGUGGGAUGGUGUGGAUUAAUUCAGUGCAACGCGAAAAACCCUUACCUACCCUUGACAUGUCUGGAAUCCGAAGGGGUUGCGGUGCUCGCAAGAGAACCGGAACACGGUGCUGCAUAGCUGUCGUCAGCUCGUGUCGUGAGAUGUUGGUUGAAGUCCCGCAACGGUAGCUUGCUGUCAUUGGUUGCUACGAAAGGGCACUCUAAUGGGACUGCCGGUGACAAACCGGAGGAAGGUGGGGAUGACGUCAGUCUCCUGGCCCAUAUGGGUAGGGCUUCACACGUCAUACAAUGGUCAGGACAGAGGGUCGCCAACCCGCGAGGGGGAGCCAAUCCCAGAAACCCGAUCGUAGUCCGGAUGCUGAUGCAACUCGACUGUUGCGUGGAGUCGGAAUCGCUAGUAAUCGCGGAUCAGCAUGUCGCAGUGAAUACGUUCCCGGGUGUGUACACACCGCCCGUCACACCAUGGGAGUGGGUUUUACCAGAAGUAGUUAGCCUAACCGUAAGGAGGGCGAUUACCACAGUAGGAUUCGCCUUGGCUGCCGAUUGAGAUCAUAUUCAAAGAGGUAG